AGCAAAAUUCAUGUCUGGACGCAUUAAGAGAGGAGCCGGAUAAGGGAGGUGCCAGGCAGCAGCGCCACUGAAGGUGUUUAUCGACAUCAGUCCAUCACCAAGCCAAGGAGGCACCAAGCCCAACACUGGGAAGUCGCCGGGAAGGAGACAUCUCUCAUCAUCUUCCAGGAUCAACUACAGCUGAAAUGGUGGGACUGAUCCCGGUGAGAGGUUGUCUAAUGCCAAGUACGCCAUCUCCACAGCCAGAAGGCCGGUGUUCGUGUGUACGCCAUACCAGAGGACCUGAAACUGUUAAGUUCUUACAUAUCUUACAAGUGUUUGAUCUUAUAAAACGGAAAUUUUGCAGAAUUGGGCUAGUAUUGACUUGACAUUGGCAUGAUAGGAAGCUGUCUGUUUUGUUGCAUUCAUAACUUAAGCUGAUAUUAAGAUUCCCUUUGUCUACAUUGGACAUUGUCGGCAGGGCUGAUCAUAAUCUCUUGGUUGGUGGCGAGGUGUUUGAGUGUGUUUUGUUGACACCCUGAGUGAUGUUGUUGGUAGGUGGCUAGGGCAUUUUGUGAGCGGGGGCUUCUUUUGCACACGGGACUUCAUCCCGUUUCUGUGGUGUACAGGCCCGGUGUGUGGCUGGUUUGGCUUCUGUGACUGUGUUUAAUGGUUGAGAUUGUGUUCGGAGUUACUACGAAGUUCAGUCCUUUAGAAAGCAGGGAUUUGCUGGAUCUGUUGGCUUGUGACGAGUUGGGUUCUUCUACCACCUGUCGUCUUUUCUGCCUUGUGUGAUGGUCUAGGGCCGGGAACCUACUAGUAGACCAUUACAUAAGAUGCCCUGUGUCGUAAUCUUGGCUCCCGAACCAAGACGACGGUACAGGGCCAGAAAGGAAGACAGGUGGUUGAAGAGUGUAAGUUGUUGUGAGCUGACAGGACCGGGAAGUCUCGGUUCUCUGAAGGCCAGAACUUUGCAGUAACUUCGAAUGCAGUCUCGGCCAUGGACAUGGUAACAGAAACCAAAUCGGCCAUACAUCGGGCCUGUAUACCGCAGAAACAGGCUGAAGCGCUGUGUGUAGAAGUAGCCACUGCUCUCAGAAUGUCCUAACCUCCUACCAGCAGCAUUACUCGGGGUGUCAUCAAAAUGUACUCAACACCUUGCCGCUUAUCAAGAGAUUGUGAUUCUCUCUGCUGAUAAUGCUUCAGGUAGACAGAGGGGAUGGGUGAACAUUUCUAGGUUGAACCUAGAACUGAAACGACAAUCACAAAUCAAGUUACUUCCUGUCAUGCCCCCAGCAGUCUGUAGAUGAAGUUCUUCACAGAAUACAAAGUGUACAAUUUUAUAGCCACCAAGUAUGUUAUAUUCCAUAGAUACGCGUAGUUCAGCUUACUAAGAGUUACAUAUAUUUCGUUUCUAGAACGUGUAUACAAGAGCUUUAGAAUGCAGUAGCUAUCUAUGCUGGUAUUGUCCAUUUAUGGUGUAGAAGGUUGCUUGCAGUUAUUUUCCAUUUGGAAAUUUGGCUACCUAAUGCGUUGGCCAAUGUUUACAACAACUGUGCUGUUUUAGAAGACAACAAUGUCCUCUGGUGUCUAUAUGACGUAAUGUAAGCACCGGUACCCUUGAGCUAGUUACAUUGAUUUGUUUUUCUAUCAGCGCAAAUAAAAACUAGUAGUCUUUUCUCAUCUUCCUCACUUAGGGAGUUGCUUUUACAGUGUCAAACAUUGUACCUACUGUGUUCUGAUGGCGUCUGGAUUUGACUGUAGCCAGUAGUCGUUUUUAAAAAAAUGCUGUACACAGUACAAAUUGAUGUAUUUCUUGUCUUGUAUUCUUUCCGUUUAUUCCUUCCAUGAAAGCCUUUUGUUCUCACUUUAUAUUUCGUGUAUUUUGUGGCUUUUCUGGUACAAUACUAGCCACCUUGUCCACCUUGUCAUAGAAAGCCAUUUUGUCCAAGACCAAAACUAAGAUCAGAAGAUUUUUUCGUUUGGGUACUUGUAAUCUAUUUCUGUGAUCAACGUUUGAAAAUGUCAAGUACAACCUGACCAACAUAUUGUACACUUUGUUUCCCUUUGAAUAAACAAUUUAAACCAGGUGUAGUUUUUAUUUCUCUCUUCCAACAACCUCAACCUUUAGUGAAAUGAAUACCCACCUCCACCCACACCCUCCAAUUGCCGAAAAUGGAUGGUCCCUCUCUCUCACCUCCUAAGGUGUGUGAAAAGGAUGAUCCAUUGGUCCUUACCAGAACCUGAAGACUUUCAAAUGAAUGAACCCUCUUCCUUUCACAACAUGUAAAAUUGUCCCUCCCUUCCAUGUGCUGCUAGCAUGUCUUACUCCAAUAUCAGCACACCUAGGUCAAUAUAUUUGUACAAUUAUUCCAAAUGCGAGACCAGAUCACCGAUACAUAAAUGUAAUCCUUAUAAUGUUAUUGAUGAAAUUUUGUUGCACUGUAUCUGUAUGUAGUUUAGUAUCUGUAUGUAGUGUAGUACUUAGUAGUAAUAGUAUGUUUUUCUAUCAGAGUACGGUUGCAUAUUAGCCUAAAUUCCCACAUAUUGUCGUUUGAUUCCAUAGUGCCAUGUUAGGACGUCCAAUCACGAGGAUCUGACGGGGGUCCUAAUACAGUAUUAAAUACUCGA